rnacentral:rRNA from 1 species
ACGGAAGGCAGCAGUGGGGAAUAUUGCACAUUGGGCGAAAGCCUGAUGCAGCGACGACGCGUGAGCGAAGAAGUAUUUCGGUAUGUAAAGCUCUAUCAGCAGGGAAGAUAAUGACGGUACCUGACUAAGAAGCACCGGCUACAUACGUGCCAGCAGCCGCGGUAAUACGUAUGGUGCAAGCGUUAUCCGGCUUUACUGGGUGUAAAGGGAGCGCAGGCGGUACGGCAAGUCUGAUGUGAAAGCCCGGGGCUCAACCCCGGUACUGCAUUGGAAACUAUCGAACUAGAGUGUCGGAGGGGUAAGUGGAAGUCCUAGUGUAGCGGUGAAAUGCGUAGAUAUUAGGAGGAACACCAGUGGCGAAGGCGGCUUACUGGACGACAACUGACGCUGAGGCUCGAAAGCGUGGGGAGCAAACAUGAUUAGAUACCCUGGUA